AAAAACCCUAGAUCUAAUUCCCAACCCGAUUCUUUUUCCCUUCUCUCUUUUCUUUCCUCUCUCGCCCCCUUCUUCCCAUCUGUGAUUUCCAGGUUUCGGCCACAUCUCCGACCGACGACGGCGUGAUCUACGACGAUCGGCGGUGGAAGGUUUUCGUUUGGGAAUUGGUCAAAGAUGGUGAAAUUAGUUCAACUCAGCCAAAUUGAACAGAUUUGGCAAUUCUUUGGCUGUUUUACGACCUUACAAGCAACAAGAAGGGAAUUAGCUGGAGACAACUACUACAGUAUGUGAAAAAAGGCAAAGGAGAUUUGAUGGGGAUCAAAGAUUUUGUGGCACAUGAAGAUGACUAUAUGUAUUCUUAGUGUUGUUGGAUGGA